rnacentral:tRNA from 1 species
AAAUUUCUAGUAAAAGGAAAAUCCGUUGAUUGAAAAUAUCGUGAGGGUUCAAGUCCCUCUAUCCCCA